rnacentral:rRNA from 1 species
UACGUGGGGUGCAAACGUUGCUCGGAAUUAUUGGGCGUAAAGCGCACGUAGGCGGCUCUUUAAGUCGCAUGUGAAAGCCCCAGGCUUAACCUGGGAAGUGCAUGCGAUACUGAAAAGCUUGAGUACUAGAGGAGGUCGCGGAAUUCCCGGUGUAGAGGUGAAAUUCGUAGAUAUCGGGAGGAACACCAGCGGCGAAGGCGGCGACCUGGAUAGAUACUGACGCUGAGGUGCGAAAGCGUGGGGAGCAAACAGG